rnacentral:rRNA from 1 species
GAUGAACGCUGGCGGCAUGCCUAACACAUGCAAGUCGAGCGGAGAUUUCGGGGGAGCUUGCUCCACCGGGAUUUCAGCGGCGGACGGGUGAGUAACGCGUGAGCAACCUGCCUUCAACAGGGGGAUAACGCAUCGAAAGAUGUGCUAAUACCGCAUGAGACCACAACAUCACAUGGUGAAGGGGUCAAAGGAGCAAUCCGGUUGAAGAUGGGCUCGCGUCCGAUUAGCUGGUUGCUGAGACAACAGCCCACCAAGGCGACGAUCGGUAGCCGACCUGAGAGGGUGAUCGGCCACAUUGGAACUGAGAUACGGUCCAGACUCCUACGGGAGGCAGCAGUGGGGAAUAUUGGGCAAUGGGCGAAAGCCUGACCCAGCAACGCCGCGUGAGGGAAGAAGGGUUUCGGCUCGUAAACCUCUGUCCUGUGGGACGAAGGAAGUGACGGUACCACAGGAGGAAGCCCCGGCUAACUACGUGCCAGCCGCCGCCGUAAAGC